rnacentral:lncRNA from 1 species
UUUGGAUAGCCGGCCCCCCUGUUUCACCGAAUGGGGGAUUCUUAUUCCCAGCCGAGAGGUAUAGCAGCUAGCCUUCUCCCCCCUUUCUCGCACGCGGUGGAGACGAGCUGAGAACGCGGAGCCGACGCGGAAGGAGCGGACGUUGAUCGAUGGUGCUUGGACACGCAUGGACGGCUGGGGAUGCUCUCGAACGGCUGGAUGAACGCGUGGAUCCGGAAGCAGCGCUGGUGGGGAGAAAGAUUCGGGAGCUUCGCGGAUGAGGCGGAAGAAGCGGGAUGAAGUCGGAACUCAGGGAUUGUGAGAUCUGAUCGUGGAAUCCGAAAGCUAGAGCGCGUGAGAUGCGUGGGAGGAUCAGUCGGACACGUGGAAAGCUGGUAGAAGGGCCUUGGAUGAUGGGAGAUGAACCGUGGACGGCUGGAAGGCUGAUCGCAUGAGACACGGAGAUGGGAGUUAAUCGCCGAUGCUGAAAUCGCGGGAUGCCGUGAGCUUCGGACGCGGAUGUGGCUAGACGCGGCUGUGGCGGAUGGGUGCUGAUAUGGCUGGAACUCCGAAGAGGCUGGAACGGGAGCUGGUCACAUGCGCUGGGACGCGGUGGAAUCGCCACGCUGGGAGAAGCUUGGACGCGUGGAUGAAUGAAUCGAAGGAUGGGGCGCGGUCGACUGCUGAAUCAUAUGCAGAGAAGAUGGACUCGAAAUGCUGGCCGCAGGAUGAGAUCUGGGUGCUGGGCGGUUGCACGGACGUGAUGAUAGAUCACAUGCUGGGCUCGUAGAAUACUGAAGCU